AACCGUAGACACACACUCCACAUCAUUGAUUUCUCCUCUAUUGGGAAGCAAGCCUACAGGCCCUGGUCAUCUGCUACUGCCUCUAGAGGGAUGAUGCUGGUGUCAGCAUAGGUGACAGUUUUAAAAGGAGAGCCCUGGACCAGGAACCUGAUUCUUCACUUACUCUGGUAACAAGUUCUGUGCACUUGGCCCUUGUGUUCAGGAGGAAGCCGUUAAUUUUAAAGACGCUUUAGAAGAGAGUGGAAGCUUCUGUAUUUAUAAGGUGCAAUGUUGCUGAAAAUAAUCUUCAGCUGUGUGCUGACGUAGUCAGAUGUGUGUCUUCUCCUGGGUACCUGGCAUUGAGGUGAACUGCAAAAUGAGGGAAUUAUUCUACCUUCAUUUUGAGUUUUGACUAAGGACUUCAGGACUCAACGUGAGACUACAAUUUUUCUUUGCUUGGUUCCAUUUCAUUACCCCCUGGAAGAAAGCGAACAGUUAUGAUGGAAGUGUAAACUUUCUUCAUUUUUUUCAGUAAGUUUUACAAGUCCAUGGAAUGAUUUAUUUAGGAUUGGUUAUUUUGGCUAUGUAUGAUACACACCACGACAUAAGCCCUAAGAACAAAACAAAACGAAACAAAAAUGAC